rnacentral:rRNA from 1 species
GUCAAGUCAGCAUGUCCUUUAUACCCUGGGCGACACACACGCUACAAUGGCCAGUACAAUGGGUCGCCAAGCCGUGAGGCGGAGCCAAUCCUGAAAAGCUGGUCUCAGUUCGGAUUGCAGGCUGCAACCCGCCUGCAUGAAGUCGGAGUUGCUAGUAACCGCAGGACAGCUAUACUGCGGUGAAUACGUUCCCGGGUCUU